CACCAAAAUGGCGAAGGCAGCUAACUGGACAUAUACUGACACUGAGGGACGAAAGCAUGGGGAGCAAACAGGAUUAGAUACCCUGGUAGUCCACACUGUAAACGAUGGAUACUAGAUGUAGGGGGUAUCAACUCCCUCUGUGUCGCAGUUAACGCAUUAAGUNUCCCNCCUGGGGGAGUACGGUCCCAAAGGC
rnacentral:rRNA from 1 species